GGGGCUGACCGGUUUUGACAGCAGGCAGAGUCGGAAAGUAAGCAUGCCGAGCUUUGUGUGGAUGGCUCGUAAAUCUCAACGCUCAACUUUAUAAAUGGCAAUAAUAGCUAUGCACUCGCUGCGUAAUCUUACGAUGUAACAUUACCUUAAUUCUCUGACCCAAGGAGGCCGGAGAACGAGUACUCCGCCGGUGGAACCCGCUUCUUGUUCCGUCGGCACCGGAGUAUCGACAAUGAGAAGCUGGCUGCGGCGCGUGUCCGGGUUGCCGCGGCGAGAAAAUACGGACUGGGCUUCGUACUAGGCUGCCGUAUGCCGGGUGCGGAGAGGAGGAUAAAACGACGGCUAAGCAUGUAGAAAGCCUUCGGGUUCCCUGUUUGGACGAGGGUUCGACUCCCUCCAGCUCCACA
rnacentral:tmRNA from 1 species